AGUGAACGCUGGCGGUAGGCCUAACACAUGCAAGUCGAACGGCAGCACAGUAAGAGCUUGCUCUUACGGGUGGCGAGUGGCGGACGGGUGAGGAAUACAUCGGAAUCUACUUUUUCGUGGGGGAUAACGUAGGGAAACUUACGCUAAUACCGCAUACGACCUACGGGUGAAAGCAGGGGAUCUUCGGACCUUGCGCGAUUGAAUGAGCCGAUGUCGGAUUAGCUAGUUGGCGGGGUAAAGGCCCACCAAGGCGACGAUCCGUAGCUGGUCUGAGAGGAUGAUCGCCAAACAGGGAAGGAGAACGCGGUCCAGACCCCUGGGGGGGGAAGGAGGGGGAAAUUUUGGAAAAGGGGCGAAAGCCUGACCCAGCCAUACCGGGUGGGUGAAGAAGGCCUUGGGGUUGAAAACCCCUUUUGGGGGGAAAAAAAAGCCGCGGUUUAAUCCCCCGCUUUUUUGGGGGAACCAAAAAAAAAAGCCCCGGCAAUCUGCG
rnacentral:rRNA from 1 species